CCAAAGUUCGAUUUUGUGUGCAUAAAUACGCCUAUUUUUGCGUACAUAUGAUACGCCAAUUUAGCGCGAGUGCAUAUUAACCGGCAAUUUGUCUUAUUAACCUGUCCCCUAACCCAAACCCUAAACCUAAUGUUAGCGUGCGUGCAUAUUAUAAGCUCUAACCCAAACCCUAACAGUAUUAUUUUAAUUAUUUCAGUGUUUCCUCUUCAUGUACGUUUCAAAAUGGCUGCUCUCCAGCGAGGUGCACGCAAACAUUGGCGUAUCAUAUGCAAGCGAAAUCGAACUUUGGCGUGCGUAUUUCAAGAUAAUGCAACAGCGUGUUAUUUAUAUGCAAUUCAUGAGACCGGGUUGUCCUGACAUCUUGUAUGAAUACAAUUCAUGAUUUUGUGAAUAAUUUUUUUCUUAAGAAUCAGGACUGACAAGCCCUCUACAUGUGAAUUAUUGUGUCAUCUGUGGUAUGUGCCACCAUCCAGAAGAAGAGACAUAUUCAAAGGGCCGACACAUGCCGCGCACAGAUCCCCACAACUGUGGUGGCAAACGUUUUCAAAAGGUGGGGCUGCAUUUGUCCCACAACCCCAACAUUCCACAUUCCAGUGCAAUAGCCAGAGCUCUCGGUUACAACAGGGUCAGGAUGAACCAGGGAUUGAAGCGCAGACAAGGAAGAGCAGGCACUGAAAUAGCGCAUGACUCCACAGUCUCCACAGGAAAAUGAGACCAUGUUCCUCUUUUGGAGUGUCCAUCUGAGGAGCGUCUGCCUAGGAAAAACUUGGGGUGAUAGAAUCACACCUUAUUCUGAGUAAGAAAACUCCCUCUUUUUGUCUUUUUCGUGUCGAGACCCAUAAAAACAACUUAGCAUCUGCUCUCACUUUUCCCUCUUCCUGUCUCCCAAAAGUAAUUUCCUCUCUUUUCUUUCCUCAUUUUACCCCCUAAAAGGUUUACACUGACGAUUGCUGUAUUGUUUUAUCAAAAGCGCAGUCUUGAAGUAGGUCAAUAAAACAUUGGG